UUUAUAGUAUGUCAUGGCCUUUUCUGGCCAACUGCUGUUAUGUUUAUGAUAUACUAUGGUGUUGUGUCACUAGACUUUGACCAGAUAUUAUUGCAUCCAAAGAUCGACUGUACCUAGAACAUAGAUACAGAGCCACUUGUUAUCAGGAAGGUGCUCUCUCAGAACAACGGAAAAUAUCUCAAUGACUUGACAUGUUCUGGUUGUGAAUUCAGGCUACAAGGGGUCAGUGCUCUAAAAUGAGUCUCUCUGGGGAGAGAGAGGAGGGGGGCCCUGCCUCUAAAAUGAGACUCGCUGGGGAGAGAGGAGGGGGGUCCUGCCUCUAAAAUGAGUCUCUCUGGGGAGAGAGAGGAGGGGGGUCCUGCCUCUAAAAUGAGUCUCUCUGGGGAGAGAGAGGAGGGGGACCCUGUCUCUAAAAUGAGUCUCUCUGGGGAACAUGACACAAAAUCUAAGAGUCUAAUCAAACAGGGGAAACCAGCCUCCCCUGUACCCAGCUGUGUGUCCAUGAAGAGUGACCUGUCUAUGAAUCUUCCUAUAUCCUUUAGAGAGGGAGACGUUUCUACUGAACAAAGGUAAGAAGAACUCAUGGGUCAUGGUCAGUGAGUUAAACAACACUGUCUCUAGUCAUUUCUCCUCUCCCAUUUUCACAUUUCUUUUGGUUGUUUUCAUAAUCCAUAGGCUAAUCCUUUAGUCCAUUUUCAUAGUCCUAAAACAAUAUUAAACAAACACAAUAUUCCC